rnacentral:misc_RNA from 1 species
UUAAGUUCAGCGGGUAUCCUCACCUGAUCCGAGGUCAAACUUUGGGAUGUAGUUACCUGGCAGGCACCGCCGCGGACUCCUGAAGCGAAAUUUUUGCUACGCUUGAAGCCGGACUGCACCGCCAACGGGUUGCGGACGGGUCACUUAACCGCGUCCAAGACAAGCUGGGCUUGAUGGUUUAAAUGACGCUCGAACAGGCG